CACGCCUUGGCCCAGGUGCGUUUUCGGGCUCGCCCCGCCUCGCCGGGUGCUGCGGCGGCAGCGGCUGGGACGAGCCACGGAACGGGAAGCAGGGAAACAUGCCACCGGGCUGAACCGCUGGAGCCGGCACGAAGAGGCGAAGGGAUGGACGUGGAAGGUGUGACUAAUAUCAGAGCCCUACGAGCAAAAUUUCAAAACGACUCCAACUUGGCCCACAAGCUGGUGCAGCCGCGCAGGAAGCCUCCCACUGAGAUCCCACCCAAGCCGGGCUCUGGAGGUAACGCCGUGUCCAGCCCUCUGCCUCUGAGUAAGAGAGAAGUGAUAAAACCUAAGCAUGAACCUGCCCAACCUGCUUCCCAACCCUCUGCGCUCACCCAGUGCAACCCCUUGGCAUGGCCUCGAGCCAAGCUGGGUUACACGGAGCCGACGGGGCACAACGAAGACCACAAAGACAAUGUCUUGGAGAAAGGACUGAGUUCUCCUGAGAAAGGUCCAGAGAAGCCUCUGCCAUCCUCUUGCAUUGAUUGGCAAGGACCAGCCCAAACAGCUCCAGAAGACCCUUCGCUCACGAAUUCUUUCCACCGUGCCCUGAAGAUCUGGGAAAAUGCUUUAUCCUGCGGCGAGAAAGCAAAUGUCAUGCUCCCAACCCAACGGGCAACAAACUUAUACGUGCACCCUUGCCCGGAGCAGAGGGCAAUGAGUGCUCCGGCUGCAUCAGGUGGCAGCAGGACGCGACCCUCUGGAAGCAAGCCCAUGCUGGACUUGCCUGCCCAGAAGAAGGAUGCACUGCGUGGCAGCGGGACGGCUCUUCCCCAGGCUCCCAGAGGACACAGGGGCUCUGAUGGAGCUGCUGCUGAGAGCGCGGUGGCAACUGCGUUCUGCCAGGCGGGUUAUCCUGCACCAGGAAAGCAACCUCAGCACCAGAAAGAACCGGAGCCUCCCUUCUGCCAGCCCCGAGCAGGAAAAUGGUUUGACAGCCCCGGGAGCAAGUGGCCAAGAGUUAAAGCUCUCCCUUCAGUCGAAUCCCUGGGUCCAGCCCCCGGGAAGCCGGCAAGACCCCCGAAGUUUGAUCUCAGCGCUUUCCGAAGCUCCGCGCCUUCGGUCCACAGAGGAAAUGAAACAACUGCUGAUGAAGAGGAUUACUUGACUCCUGAAAGUGCUCAACUUGAAGAGCAGCAUAAUGAUGAAGAAACCCCGAUGUACCUGAAUCAGUCUGGGGACGCCACAACCUUGUGUGUCAUUGAAGUACCUAAGGAAGAGCCUCAAGAGUACAAGAAACAGAAGACCUUUUUCUUUGCCAAAUCCAGUCCUGGAAGAGCCAUAAUAGAGGAUGAAAAAGAGGAAAAAACAAGUCUUGAAGGAGAGAAACAGGAAGGAAAGAAAAUUUUCAAGACAGGUGAAAAUGAAUACGUAUCUCCCAUUAGCCACACCAAGGAAGGUGGUAGAGGUGGGAUGAAGGUGCCACAAGUGAAGCACGAUGUGACCAGUGCCCAGACUGCGAAGCGUCCUACCCCACAAGGGCUGGCAAAAGACGGAGCGAAGUUCUUGCCUUAUGUGUAUGUUGGUGCUCCAAAGCCAGAGGUAGAAGGAACAACCUUGAACCAAAACACUUGGCUGUCUCUGCAGGCACCAGAGGAUAUAUAUGAUGACGUUGAGGAAAUGCAAGAUAGACUCAGCCAAGCGUCAGAUGCCUCAAGUCAGUUUGCGUCAGCCAGCAUUUCAGGAAACAGCUAUGAAGAAACAUAUGAAGAUGUUGAGACUGGGGGUGAUAAUCCAGCAAAACCGGAAACAGAAAAACAAAAGAGAUUUGGAAACUUGUUUAAGAUAGAGAAGUUGACGCUGAAGAAUAUCAAGCUCAAGGAAAACUUCAGAUUGUUUUCCGUCUCGGUAUCAAAUUUAGUGGCUGUUUCCCAGGAGGACACGGUGUACGACGAUGUCGAGACGGGGCAGAGAGAGUCAAGAGAGAAGGAUGACAAGUACAAAACCUGGAUGCCAAAAUUUCGGGUGGCGAAAGAGGAUAAGGACCAAAGGAAAACCAGCGAUGAUGUGGAAAGAAAGAUCUUCAAAGUCAAGAAGAGUGAUGCAGAAGAAAGCAAGAAGAUGGAGAAAGAAGAGAAGUUUUUUAGAAAAACAUUUAUGUAUGACAAGGAGAUCAAGGUCAUCAACACGGCCACUGCCGAGUGCUCGGUCCCCAGUAAGAGGAGAGUUGACCUCCCGCUCACAGCUGGAGAACAGCUGGAUGUUAUCGAUGUCACGGAGGGCAGCGCAGUGAUUUGCCGCAAUUCGGAGGGCAGAUAUGGGUAUGUUCUAGUGGAGCAUUUGAACUUCAGACAGUACUAACUGCCCCGAGAGCCGCUCUCCCCCCUGGAGCAUCCCUGAAGGUGAAGGUCUCUUCUGUGCUUCCCGCAUCCGUGAGAGUCCGCCAUGGUCAACUGUGGAGAGCUGAUGCGAUUCCUUGCUGGUGCAUCCUAAACACAUCAAAACUUGAAGUUAAUUCUCAUGUGAAUUUUAGGCCCCGUUCCCCCACGUUCCUUCUCAAAACGGAGCUCGUCGUGAUAACCGGUCUGAUUUGCUGAAUCUGAGGGCGAACUGAAAGUUCUUAGAAGGCACUUAGAAGGCAGUUGUGUAUCGCAGAAGCUGUGUAAGAAAGGAGCGUGGAUAGCGACUGCAGCUUUGUGCCUUAACUGGAUUGACUUCCCUCUGCGUCACAGGCGUAUAUGAACUAAGUCCCCAGUUCCGUCCCCCGCCCCAAGCACCUAUCCUGCAGCGAAAGGUUAUUUUUGCACAAUAUCUUUGAAAUGCUCCUCCCCAUGCUUUUGCCUAAAGAGUCAAGAUCCGAGUCAGCACGGGUCCAUCAGCUCUGCUGGAUGCACGUCAAUACAGAAGAAAACCUUCGGGCCUCGCUCCUGGCAUGUAUUUUGGGUUGGGGAAGCUGUUUCUGCUAUCCAUUUAUAUAUUUUAAUU